rnacentral:rRNA from 1 species
UACGUAGGGCGCAAGCGUUGUCCGGAAUUAUUGGGCGUAAAGAGCUCGUAGGCGGUCUGUUACGUCUGCUGUGAAAACCCGGGGCUUAACCCCGGGCUUGCAGUGGAUACGGGCAGACUAGAGGCAGGUAGGGGAGAAUGGAAUUCCCGGUGUAGCGGUGAAAUGCGCAGAUAUCGGGAGGAACGACCGGUGGCGAAGGCGGUUCUCUGGGCCUGACCUGACGCUGAGGAGCGAAAGCGUGGGGAGCGAACCGG